rnacentral:rRNA from 1 species
ACGCUCGACACCUACGGGAGGCAGCAGUCGGGAAUAUUGCGCAAUGGAGGAAACUCUGACGCAGUGACGCCGCGUGCAGGAAGAAGGUUUUCGGAUUGUAAACUGCUUUAGACAGGGAAGAACAAAUGACAGUACCUGUAGAAUAAGCUCCGGCUAACUACGUCCCAGCAGCCGCGGUAAUCUGAGCGGGCUGGCAAGGC